rnacentral:rRNA from 1 species
GGGAAUAUUGGACAAUGGGCGAAAGCCUGAUCCAGCAAUGCCGCGUGAGUGAUGAAGGCCUUAGGGUUGUAAAGCUCUUUUACCAGGGAUGAUAAUGACAGUACCUGGAGAAUAAGCUCCGGCUAACUCCGUGCCAGCAGCCGCGGUAAUACGGAGGGGGCUAGCGUUGUUCGGAAUUACUGGGCGUAAAGCGCGCGUAGGCGGAUGGUCAAGUCGGGGGUGAAAUCCCGGGGCUCAACCCCGGAACUGCCUCCGAUACUGGACGUCUGGAGGACGGAAGAGGCGAGUGGAAUGCCGAGUGUAGAGGUGAAAUUCGUAGAUAUUCGGCGGAACACCAGUGGCGAAGGCGGCUCGCUGGUCCGUUUCUGACGCUGAGGCGCGAAAGCGUGGGGAGCAAA